rnacentral:rRNA from 1 species
GAUGAACGCUGGCGGCGUGCCUAAUACAUGCAAGUCGAGCGAACGGACGAGAAGCUUGCUUCUCUGAUGUUGGCGGCGGACGGGUGAGUAACACGUGGAUAACCUACCUAUAAGACUGGGGUAACUUCGGGAAACCGUAGCUAAUACCGGAUAAUAUUUUGAACCGCAUGGUUCAAAAGUGAAAGACGGUCUUGCUGUCACUUAUAGAUGGAUCCGCGCUGCAUUAGCUAGUUGGUAAGGUAACGGCUUACCAAGGCAACGAUGCAUAGCCGACCUGAGAGGGUGAUCGGCCACACUGGAACUGAGACACGGUCCAGACUCCUACGGGAGGCAGCAGUAGGGAAUCUUCCGCAAUGGGCGAAAGCCUGACGGAGCAACGCCGCGUGAGUGAUGAAGGUCUUCGGAUCGUAAAACUCUGUUAUUAGGGAAGAACAUAUGUGUAAGUAACUGUGCACAUCUUGACGGUACCUAAUCAGAAAGCCACGGCUAACUACGUGC